AGCUCCAAUAGCGUAUAUUAAAGUUGUUGCGGUUAAAAAGCUCGUAGUUGGAUCUCGGCAGGCAGGGGGUGGUUCGCUCCUUAGCGCUACUGCCCCAUUUGCCUGUGUGAUUGGCAGAGGUUUCGGGGUGCCCUUUAUUGAGUGACCCGGAGCGCUGUCAGGUUUACUUUGAAAAAAUUAGAGUGCUCAAAGCAGGCUUUUCACGCUUGAAUAUUCGUGCAUGGAAUAAUAGAAUAGGAACUCGGUUCUAUUUUGUUGGUUUUCGGAAAUCGAGUUAAUGAUUAAUAGGGACAGGCGGGGCUAUUCGUAUUGCAUUGUCAGAGGUGAAAUUCUUGGAUUUCUGCAAGACGAACUACUGCGAAAGCAUUUAGCAAGGAUGUUUUCA
rnacentral:rRNA from 1 species